CCCUUAGAUGUUCUGGGCCACACGCGCGUUACACUGAUGAAGCCAGCGAGUAUAUCGCCUUCACCGGAAGGUGCGGGUAAUCUUGUGAAACUUCAUCGUGCUGGGGAUAGACCAUUGCAAUUAUUGGUCUUGAACGAGGAAUUCCUAGUAAGCAUGAGUCAUCAACUCGUGCUGAUUACGUCCCCGCCCUUUGUACACACCGCCCGUCGCUACUACCGAUUGAAUGGUUUAGUGAGAUCUCGGGAUUGGAGACGUUGCGCCGCAAGGCACAUCGUCCUCGAGAACUUGAUCAAACUUGAUCAUUUAGAGGAAGUAAAAGUCGUAACA
rnacentral:rRNA from 1 species